UUUACCGAUGGAGUUUGAGGCAUACAGUCUGUGAUGCCCUUAUGUUCUGGGCCGCACGCGCGCUACACUGAUGAAGUCAACGAGUCUAUAUCCUUUAUCGGAAGAUAUGGGUAAUCUUUUGAAACUUCAUCGUGCUGGGGAUAGAGCAUUGCAAUUAUUGCUCUUAAACGAGGAAUCCCUAGUAAGCACAAGUCACCAGCUUGUGCUGAUUACGUCCCUGCCCUUUGUACACACCGCCCGUCGCUACUACCGAUUGAAUGGCUUAGUGAGGCCCUCGGAUCGAUAUUCAUGAACUGGCAACAGUUUUUGUUUGUUGAGAAGUUGGUCAAACUUAUUCAUUUAGAGGAAGUAAAAG
rnacentral:rRNA from 1 species